CGCGCGAGGCCCCGCCUCCCCUUCCUGCCCUCCCCCUCGUGAGAGCCCCGGAGCUCUGCGCUCGCUGCCGUGGCCCCCGGGACAUCCAGCCUGAAGGAGAGUGGGGCAGGAAUUUUUCCGGGGCAAGACGCUUCAGCCUGGGAAGGCUGACCGCUCCCGAGCCGCUCGCAGGCCCCCAGAGUUGGGAGGAGAGCAGUCCAGACUACAGAAAAAGUAUGGACAGAGGCGUGGAGAGGAGGCAGUCAGCAAGUUCUUGUAACCGGCCCAUUUGGAAUUAGAGACCAUCCUGAUCCUCACCAAUCCCCACGCUGGAGUCUCCACUCCUCUAGUGGGAAUCCAGAGACUGGAGGCCAGCCUAUUCCAAAAUCCCACCACUGCCAGCCUGCAAUUCCAUCUGCCACUCCUCUGAAUGAAAGCACUGUUGUCUCCUGAAGGUCCCAGAGGGACACAAUAAAUGGAGAAGGUAUCGGACUGUCAGUCACUCCAACAGGCCAGGCAAUAAGCAAACGGGACAUGGGCCAACAAGGUUUGACAGGGGAUGAG